GCAUGGUGGAGCAGUGGGUAGCACUAUUGCCUCGCGACAAGAAGGUCCUGGGUUUGAAUCCCGGCCUGGGCC
rnacentral:tRNA from 1 species